rnacentral:rRNA from 1 species
AGAGUUUGAUCAUGGCUCAGGAUGAACGCUAGCUACAGGCUUAACACAUGCAAGUCGAGGGGAAACGACAUCGAAAGCUUGCUUUUGAUGGGCGUCGACCGGCGCACGGGUGAGUAACGCGUAUCCAACCUGCCCACCACUUGGGGAUAACCUUGCGAAAGUAAGACUAAUACCCAAUGAUAUCUCUAGAAGACAUCUGAAAGAGAUUAAAGAUUUAUCGGUGAUGGAUGGGGAUGCGUCUGAUUAGCUUGUUGGCGGGGUAACGGCCACCAAGGCGACGAUCAGUAGGGGUUCUGAGAGGAAGGUCCCCCCANAUUGGAACUGAGACACGGUCCAAACUCCUACGGGGAGCA